UACGUAGGGGGCAAGCGUUGUCCGGAUUUAUUGGGCGUAAAGAGCGUGUAGGCGGCCAGGUAGGUCGGUUGUGAAACUAGAGGCUCAACCUCUAGACGUCGACCGAAACCAUCUGGCUAGAGUCCGGAAGAGGGGAGUGGAAUUCCUGGUGUAGCGGUGAAAUGCGCAGAUAUCAGGAAGAACACCCGUGGCGAAGGCGGCUCUCUGGGACGGUACUGACGCUGAGACGCGAAAGCGUGGGGAGCGAACAGG
rnacentral:rRNA from 1 species